rnacentral:rRNA from 1 species
UACGAAGGGGGCUAGCGUUGCUCGGAAUCACUGGGCGUAAAGCGCACGUAGGCGGACUCUUAAGUCGGUGGUGAAAUCCUGGAGCUCAACUCCAGAACUGCCUUCGAUACUGGGAGUCUCGAGUUCGGAAGAGGUGAGUGGAACUGCGAGUGUAGAGGUGAAAUUCGUAGAUAUUCGCAAGAACACCAGUGGCGAAGGCGGCUCACUGGUCCGAUACUGACGCUGAGGUGCGAAAGCGUGGGGAG